rnacentral:rRNA from 1 species
UGGGGAAUAUUGGACAAUGGGCGAAAGCCUGAUCCAGCCAUGCCGCGUGUGUGAAGAAGGUCUUCGGAUUGUAAAGCACUUUAAGUUGGGAGGAAGGGCAGUAAGCGAAUACCUUGCUGUUUUGACGUUACCGACAGAAUAAGCACCGGCUAACUCUGUGCCAGCAGCCGCGGUAAUACAGAGGGUGCAAGCGUUAAUCGGAAUUACUGGGCGUAAAGCGCGCGUAGGUGGUUCGUUAAGUUGAAUGUGAAAGCCCCGGGCUCAACCUGGGAACUGCAUCCAAAACUGGCGAGCUAGAGUAGGGCAGAGGGUGGUGGAAUUUCCUGUGUAGCGGUGAAAUGCGUAGAUAUAGGAAGGAACACCAGUGGCGAAGGCGACCACCUGGGGUCAUACUGACACUGAAGUGCGAAAGCGUGGGGAGCAAACAGG